rnacentral:rRNA from 1 species
AUUGAACGCUGGCGGCAUGCCUUACACAUGCAAGUCGAACGGCAGCACGGGAGCAAUCCUGGUGGCGAGUGGCGAACGGGCGAGUAAUAUAUCGGAACGUGCCCAGUCGUGGGGGAUAACGUAGCGAAAGCUACGCUAAUACCGCAUACGAUCUAUGGAUGAAAGCGGGGGAUCGCAAGACCUCGCGCGAUUGGAGCGGCCGAUAUCAGAUUAGGUAGUUGGUGAGGUAAAGGCUCACCAAGCCGACGAUCUGUAGCUGGUCUGAGAGGACGACCAGCCACACUGGGACUGAGACACGGCCCAGACUCCUACGGGAGGCAGCAGU